GGGAAGACGAAGCCAUCUUGAUUGAGCUUUUGUUUUUAACCAUAUUUGUGUAACCAUCUGUUAAUUUAAUUAAUCCAUGUUAAAUCAUUUGAUCAUUUGUUUUUAAUGUUAUUUUUAUCAAAUUGUCAAUGAACUUGCUUUACUUUUGUGAUAAUCAUGAUGAUAAUGAACUGGUAAUUAUUUGUUAAAAUUGUAACUUUGAGGACUUUCAAUAUUUACAGAUGGCUUUCAACAAUCCUUACCAAGGGUAAAAAGGAAACAAUCAAAUGAAGGAAUAUGUUAUAAAAUUUUACGCUGGUAACUUUCAAUGGAUUGAAAUUGAGUAAACAUGGAUCUGUAUGUUUCUCGUUGUUCCCAUCAAUGUUGCAAGUUAAUCAAGAUUGCUUCCUAAUUGGAACUGGAAGUUAUUUCAUCGUUAUCAAUUAAAUCAUACAUUAAUUACAGCCUCAAGUUUGGUCAAGAUUUAGGAUGGAAGGAAAGUGAAAACAUUUUUACGGUGGAAAACAAGUAAAAAAUUGAUGACAGGUUAAGAAGACAGGUUUUACCUUUUUGUCUGGACUUUUUUUUCGGUAGGUAAAGAGGAAAGAUGACAAAAUUUAUGGUUCUUCUGAUAAUGUUAUGAACUGGUUUUACUCCCAUCAUCAUGAUCAUCUUUGAUUUUAAGUUAAAAAGAAAGGUACAUCUUUUAUGGAUUUCUAUUAAAAUAUUCAAUUUUGAACCAUUUUUCAUCUUCAACCUUUUUGCAAAUAUUCAGUUAAAUUGCAACGAUGUCCAAUUUUGUUGGUUAAUUGUCAUUUUGUGUAUCCCACAGGAUUUUGACAUGAACUCUUUUUUACUCACAAACAAACUACACUGUAUAUAUAUACUGUCUAUGGGCUUCUAUGUGUACUUGUUGCUGUCUUACCCGGUCCUAAUCGUGAUGAACUGAUGAAGAUGAUGAUAACUUUAGGCUUGAUCUGGCAGAAUGAAAUGAUGAUGAUGGAGAAGAAGAAAGUUAAGGCUCAAAAUGAAAGCUUUGUUCGUAUAAAAAAAUCUUUUUUUUGAGUAAAAAAGUGAAACCACAAGUGAAAAAUAGUCUUUCGUUUUUGACAGAAAAACAACAACGAGGAGAAAAACGAUGAUUUGAUGUAGUUGGUGGUGAUGGUGAUGAGGACGAUGAAGAUGAUGAUGGGAGAAGAUGAGAGGUAAAAGUUAUCUAAUAACAACACCACCGCUGGAUCCCUUAGCCUCUCCUUGAUCACGUUUCUUGCAGUUUUCAUAGUCAAAGUAAUAGGAACAUGAAGGAAAAAAGAUAAACCUGAUGAGGGAUCAAGAAAUGGAAUCGCUUUGGUGCAAAAAGGGAGUGUUUAUCAUUUCUCUUACGAAAAAUCUUCUUUUUUCUCCUUCUUGGCCACUUUCUUUCUCAUCCUGGAGGAGAUGAAAAAAAUGGAUGAUUAUGCUGAACCUUUUUUUUGCAGCCUUGCUAAUAACCUAUCAACCAAGAAAGAAACUCACUUUACAGCAAUACGAUUUUUUUCCGAAAAGGUCAAGAUGGUCAAAGUUGGAGGGCAAAGAUUUGGUUUUAUGUUUCUCUUGUUUUUACUGGCUAAACUGAAGUAACCCAAGCUAUUCAAUCGUUUGCAUUCAUUUCUUGGUCUUCACGGUUGAUGAAUAAUUUUUGGCCGAUGAAAAGAAUGAUUAACUGAAUCUCCUUCAAUCAAUUGAUUACUAAUGUUGAUGGAAAGACCCCUGAAGUGAGAAAUGAUGAUGAUAAGAAUUCUGAUAAAGGUGAGAGAAUAUCUAAAAGGAAAAGGUUUUCUCCAAAUGCUGGCCAACUUAUUAUUUAACCAAUGGUAUCCAUUAAUUCAAAAUGAAAAACCGACUCACUCUCACUAACUUAUCAUCUCACCCUCUCUCCCACUCUUCAUCUCCUUUGCUCCAAGUGUGAGCCUCAUAAGGUAAAGACGUUGUUGGUGGGUGAAAUGUAAAGAGGGUUUCCCAAAAGCCAAAAGACCACUUAACAAGUUGAUGAACGCCCAACCCUUAACUGAAUUAAUGAUGAUAAUAUAACAGCCAAUUUGAUUCCUUAUUUUUGAUCCUCAUCUUUACAUUCCCUUGUAAUGAGAGUCAAGGUUGUUAAGAUUCAGUUAUUGGAAAAUCAUUUGAUAAGCUUUAAAAUUCAAUAAGCUCGUAGUAAAUCAGGACUAGAAACAAAACAAAAGCUACAUUUUAUCAACCAACAAGGAAUUGGAUUAAGAACGUUGAAAAGGAUGAAUUUUGCUUUUCUCGUGAGUUCUGUAAUUCUUGUACUUUUCAAUUUUGGCCAUUCUGAUCAACAUCACAUUGAUUAUAUACAGUGAUUCUGGUAAAACGCAGUGUUAAUACGGAGCGAUGGAUUCGGUGAUACACUAGUAGUCAGGGUUAAGUUAAGAAAAGUGGCGAUUUUUUUCAUAGUCGCCAUCUAACAAGAAACAAAAGUACCUUUAAGAUCGAAUUUAAUUUUCAUAGAUUUCAUUGUUUUGUGUUACUUAAAGCGAUAAAUACUCGAGAUGGCGACACUUAAAAAUUAACUUAAAUCUGACCCUUUUUUAUUAACUUAACCCUGACUACUAGUGUAGGAGAAAUGAUGGCAGAGCAAUUUUAAAAUGAUGAUAUUAUUCAAUAUUCACUUGUUAAUGUCAAUGUUUGGUGAUUUGAUUAUCCUGAUGUAAACAUACGCUAUCAAUAAUAAUAGGAAACCAUGAAAAGGUUUUCUUUUGUUUGCUCACCAUUAAUCUCUUUACAUCCUUAUCCUUUAUAAGACACAUCAAGUUGAUGAUGUUGAAUGUGAUGAUGAUGAUAAGCGAGUUUGGUGCUCUUGAUAGCUGUACAAGUUUAAUCACUGAAAAAGGAAUCACCUUAAUCUUGAAUGGUAAUGCUGAAACACAAACUCAUCCUCACAUUUUGCUACUCUUUACAUCAUCACUUGUUCAUUUGCUAAUUUAGCUACUUAAUCUGCCUCUUCACCGAGAGAAUCAGCAAAAUGUAAUUUCACUCCCGUGGUUACCUAAACAAACAACAACUAUCACCAACACAACUCUAAAUGGGUUUAGGCCUGGGGCUGCUCACAUUAUUACCGCUUAUUACUGCUUCUUGGCGUUGCUGUGUUGUUGAUAUUUAUUAUUUGAUUAUUAUUGUUAUUAUUACAUCAACAAACAUCAACAUGGAACCUUAAUUCAUUUCAUUCAGUUGACCAGAUCAGCGAUCCAGGAAAGAAAAAUAACAUUUUUCUUUUUGUUGCUGUGAAAGUUGUUGACUGUUGACUGGAGAGUUACCAUGGAAUGAGUUUCAUUUCACACCAUUGAGAAGUCAUUAAUUUAAUCUAUUCUGACUGCAAUAGAGAGUCAAAAUUAACAGACAAAUGAAAGAAUUAAAAGUUAAUGCCAAUGAUUAACCUUUCAUCAACAAAUAAUUUCAUUUUCUGGGAACCAAACAUUGAGCUUUCCUUCCAAUUAUCAAGCGCAAGUUAAUCUAUUUCAUCCACUUUUCUUUACUCUCAGUGAACAUUAUCUAAUUAUUGUUCAUUCAAUAUACCGUAAGUUAUCAUGUUUUACUCAAUGUUUCUUCACAUCAAACAUGGUAUAAACAAGUUGAGAUAUUAUUGACCCGCCUGUUGAAGAUAAUCUAACCUUUCACUGUCACAACACCACUCAAAACCAAUCAAACAAAUUUCAAGUUAAUAUUAACUGUUUUUAUGUUUCCGUUGACAGUUUAAUCGCGCCGUUGGACCAAGUUGCAUCCGUUGGUUGAUGACUUUUUUUAAUAUCAUCAUUCUCAUCUCCAUCUUCAGCAUCAUCUUCAUCGUCAUCUUGCCCAAUCUCUCACGGUUUCUCAAAGUGUCUGGUCACUUUCCAAUUUUUUCCUUCCCUUUAUAACAGCCAUUUUAAUGUUGGCCAGCCUUGAACAGUUUUUUUGUUCAUAAUCAAAUUGUUAUCAUUACCAUUCUUAGAUUUCUCUCAUCAUCUUUCAUUUCAUUCUUUCUCCUCCUCUUCAGCAUUCUCAUCCUUUCUCAAACACUUUAAGAAGGCAGCAAAAAAAUGAAAAAAAAGGAAAGGAAAACAACUCAAACCACUAAUAACUCUCUUUUCAGAUCUCCCUGUUUUAUCAUCAUAAUCAUCUUUAUCUCUGUAACCUGCUUUACUUUGCUUUUCACACUCAAUCUUUAAUAUAAUUUUAUUUGGGUUCCUAAGACCUUUUAA